UCUAUAUGUCCAUUGCGUUUUACUUCAAAUUUUCACGAAAAUUUCAAUAUAUACCGAAUUUCAUCUUAGUUUUGUGUGAUUUCAUUAAAAUAUCAGGUUUAUCAUACCUAUGGUAUAAAGAUUUGCCUGAAUUGGCGGUAGACAAUCAGACAUAACUACACAAACGAAGAAAGAAACACUGCCGACACAGAAAUACAAUUCGCCGGAAUUUACACCAUAACGCUAUUAGCUCUAAGAGAUUGUUCGUUCGUAAAUACAAAUCAAUCCCGAAGGUCUAACCACCGUGGGUGAACGCUCACUCGACGCUCACCUUUUCACCCACGGGCCCUAUAAGGGAUGUGUUUUAAGUAUUAACACCACUCGGGUUUGAAUCAAAAUCAAUUGUUAUACACUACACUGCAUAUGGAGCACCACAGUAAAUACAACUAUAACACUUAGAUUCGACGCUCAACAUUCAAAUAUUCUCGGCACACUCACUCCCUUUUUGUCUUCUUACCUCUUUAUAACAUCCUUCUACAAGCAAGGCCUUAGGCAAUGCCGUUUCCCACUGCGCAACGUUCGAGUUUCAUCCCGAUCCGGAUUGAUUUCCAAAACGUCGAUUGCAGUAGCAUCCUUUCCUUUAUCCUUCAUUUCCUUACACUAUGUAAUAAGAAUGCCAGGAAAACCGAAUCACAGAAGAUGUUCUUCGCCACUUUCAAAUUGAGGACGUGGACGGCCCAGAAAGCAGCCUACUGUAGAUAGUGUAGAAGAUUUGAGUUUUGUCCAACAGGACAUUCUAAACGAAGAGAAUCAGAUUUUGUUCGAUGAAGCUUCUGACUCAGUCUCGCAGGCCAUUGACUUCAAUGAGAAUCAGGAUUCAGGCGUGCAAUUGAAUCAGGCUCCUACUCCAGAUUUGUCGACAGAAAAUCUUGCUCGAGCUAUUUGGUCAGAUGAUGAGGAAAUUGAGGAUGACGAAGAAGCUCCAACAGCUCGCAAGGAUCCUGAUCAACCACCCAAUACUAAUCCAAUUUCAGCUUUCAAGCAGAACUCAUUUCCUUCCUGGAGAAAAGAGUUCUUCAUGGAUUGGCGUUAGGUUGCAGACGAGCGAGUUCAUUGCCUUUGCAAAACGUGCCGGAAUUACUUUUCCACACCCUUCUCGUCAAGCCACUUUGGACCGACUCGCGACUCGCAUGCUGGUCACUGGAAACAUUCCCCUAAUUUUUUUAGGAAUCCGGAAUGGAAAGAAUUUGUCAAGGUCAUCAUACCAGGUUACAAGGCCCCAACCGAUUUCACAAUGAGACGGCGUCAUAUAGGAGAAGAAUAUGACCGAAUUAAGAUGCUCGAAUGCCCGACGAAAAUAAACAUCGGUUCCCUUUACUGGCACCGAUUGCACGUGACAUAUUGGGAAUCCCUGCUACUUCGGCCAACAUUGAACGAUGCUUCAGCACAGCGCUAGACAUUUUUGCCAUAAAAUGUAUCAACAGGAAGGUUGAUUUACUAAAUAUGCUACUGUUCAUUACCCGGAAUAAAAACUUUAAAUAGUUGUCUAACUGUGUUCUAGUUUCGCAAUACAGAGAAAAAAAGUA
rnacentral:lncRNA from 1 species